AGGUACACUAUGAAUGGCAUUAAACAUUGACGAGUCAGCCAGGAGAACACUGUGUUCUGUCCUCCUGCAGAGUGACUUGGAAGUGCAGAUGAGCUCAGGGCUGUGAGCAGAGGCUGGGCUUUUGCUCCUUGGCAGAGACUUUGUGGGCACAGCCACCCUUGUGGGAUAUGUGAGGCAAAGGCAAUUUGUGCUUUGGCUGCUGAGAUCAAACUCAGCUGGCCUUUCUGAUCAGGGAUAAGUCAUGGGGAAAGGCUGGCCAACCACCUGGAGGGGCCUGCUUUGCUAUUUGAAGUGGUAGAAAUAGUCUUGGAUCUGAGUUUCCACACCAGCCAUUUUCCAUCCUCAGGUGUCGGGAUCUUAAGGCACAUCUUACUGGAAAAAGUGUCCAUGUGUGCCAGGAACGAUUUCUCUUCAUUUCCACAACUUGUAGGUCACAGAAGCAGAGCUUGCAAUGCAGCCUGUUGGAGGCUCAGCAGCAGGUAUGGGAGCUGGAGAUCACCAAGAGCCAACUGGAAGGCCAAGUUCGCACAGCCAUGCAGGCCAAGGAGGUGAUACUUGGUGAGAGCCUCAUGCACUUUGUGUCUGGCGAUGGCCCUGCCUAGUGCAGUUACUCCGAAGGCAGCUCUGUCUGCAGGGCUUCCAAGGAGUGAAGGAGCUGGGAACAGGUCCCUCCUUGGCUAAAACGGAAAGGGCUUAAGGUCAGCAGAGUCUCUGAGUGUUGUUCAUGCUUGCAGAGGAUGUGAGGGGCCUUCGUCAGGAGCUGCAAGCUCUCGGAUCUCUCAGCAAGCAGCAACUGGAAAAAAAGGCUCAGCAGCUCCGCUCUACAGAAGAGCAGUUCAGCCAGGUUCUGAGACAAUGGCAAUCUGCUCAGGAAGAGGAAAAGAGGAAGCUCCUGCAAGAACAGGAAAGGCAGCUGGAACAACAGCGUUUGGAGGCUUGGGAGCAGCUGGAGCAAAGGGAAAACCUGGUGGCAGAGCUUCAGCACCAGGAGGCUACUCUCUUGCAGAGGGUGUACCAGCUGCAGCGAAAGCUUGACCAUAGGCAGCGGAAGGUAGAGCUGCUGAGGCAGGAGCUGGAGGAACAGCGGGAACAUUGGCAGGUGAGCCUGACUAGGCAGGUAGCAGAGGGAAGGGCAGUAAUGGGGACGUGA
rnacentral:lncRNA from 1 species